GUAACAAGGUUUCCGUAGGUGAACCUGCGGAAGGAUCAUUGAAUCUAUCAAUACCAACACCUGUGAACCAUGUUGUCCGGUCUGCUGGGCAGGCUUCAUUGCCUGUCUGGUGCGGUCUGCGGAAAGUGUGCACUUGUGCGCAGGAUCUGUGGACUGGGUUUGCUGGCCACACUACUCUCGUAGUAGCUUGUUGCCAGUGGGCUGGCCCCUCUUUACUAACCACAACACCAAACCAAAACAACUAAAGCUAAAGAUGUGCAGCUGGCCUGGCCACUGCAUCCUAACUGAGACAACUCUCAACAACGGAUAUCUUGGCUCUCGCAACGAUGAAGAACGCAGCGAAAUGCGAUACGUAGUGUGAAUUGCAGAAUUCCGUGAAUCAUCGAAUCUUUGAACGCACAUUGCGCUCGAGGCUUCGGCCGAGAGCAUGUCUGCCUCAGCGUCGGGUUAAUAUCACAUCCUUCUUCCCCUGUGGAACAAGUGGCGUGGAUCUGGUUGUUCCAGCGUGGUGGACCUGGAUGCUUAACAGCAUCCAAGUCCGAUCAUGCCUGCUGGAUCAGCUGAAGUGCAGAGGCUAACCAAGGACCCGUUAAGGGCCGCAACUGGGUAGGCAUUCACAGCUUCGGCUGCCUUGCUAUUUCUUAGUUGUUGGUCUGGGACCAUGUGUGAGCCCUCAAACAGGAACCUAUUAACCUAUUUUCUCGACCUGAGCUCAGGCAAGAACACCCGCUGAACUUAAGCAUAUCA
rnacentral:misc_RNA from 1 species